CGACAAGAUAUUACCACGGCGUAACCUGCUCUACUGACCAGGGGACAGACGAGCCCCAGUCAUCUAUGAGCCCCAGCGACACAGCGGGGUGGAGAUUAACCCCCAGGCGCCGGAUCCAGGUGGCCGCGGAAAGCAGUACCUGCUCUGUCAGGGUUGCCAUGAAAACAGUCCCUCCGGUGAGGUGCUAUCCAACAGAACUUACUGCAAUAACGGAAGCAGUCCAUUCGCUGCUGUCCAGUAGUCACUGGCCACACUGAGCACUUGGAGGGUAGUUGGUGUGUCUGGGAAACGUAACUUUUCCCUUUUAUUUUUUUAGUUUGAAUUUAAUUCAAAUUUCAGGGCACCUGGGUGGCUCAGUUGGCUGAGCAUCCGCCUUCAGCUCAGGUCACGAUCUCAUGGUUUGUGGGUUCGAGCCUUGCGUCGGGCUCUGUGCUGACAGCUCAGAGCCUGGAGCCUGCUUUGGAUUCUGUGUCUCCCUCUGUUUCUGCCCCUCCCCCGCUCAUGCUGUCUCUCUCUCUCUC